CCCAGCUCAGACACCGUACUUCCUGAUGUGGGUGUGGACAACAGAUGACUACACAAAUAAUGGAGGAUAAGCUACACUAGUCAGCUUCUUCCAAGUUAGAAAAAAAUAGUUAAAAAUCGGAUCAGUUCCUUAUUCCCUUUCCUGGUUUGCGAUUGUAGCUGUGAUGCUUUAUCAGAAUGGGAAAUCUUUUUGGAAAAAAGAAACAAACUCGAGUGACAGAACAAGACAAAGCGGUUUUGCAACUGAAGCAGCAGCGAGAUAAGCUGCGUCAGUAUCAGAAGAGGAUCAGCCUGCAGCUGGAGAAGGAGCGGCUCCUGGCCAAGCAGCUGCUGAGAGAGGGCAA